GACAUGAUAAGAAAGAGAAAAUGAUGAAAAAUGAUACGGAACUUGCGGCGGCUUGUCUCCAGGAUUCUUUAAUCCAGUCUGAUACUCAUAUGGAGAAACCUAAGGACAAGUUUGAUGAGAAAAAGGUCGGCUUAUUGGCGCGAGUAGAAGAGCCCGAAAAGAAACUUGGCUCAAUCAUUGCCGACUUGAACAAGCUGAAGAAACAUAUUACUCAAAUGACUCUUGCCAUCUUUGGUACAAAUCUUCAUAUUUCUAUUCUAAUAUUG
rnacentral:lncRNA from 1 species